rnacentral:rRNA from 1 species
UGUAUUUAUAUUUUUGUUUAACAAAAAUAAUUAUUAUUUUUAUUAAUUGGUAUGAAUAAAUAAGUUUAAUUAUAGAGUAUUAGUAUUGAGAAAGAAUUAUAUUUUUAGAUUAAAAGAAAAAUUUUUUUUUUGUACCUUGUGUAUCAGGGUUUAUUAAAUAAAAUUUAUUAAUUUUAAAUUUCUCGAAUUUAAAAGAGCUAUAAAUAUAUAUUUUUUAUUGUUAAAUAAAUAUUAUUAAUAUAUUUAUAGAAGUGAAACGUUAUUCGAUUUUAAAUAUAUCUAGUUUUUUAAGAAAAAAAUUUAAUUUUAUUUUUUAUUUAGUAAUAAGUUAAAUUUUUAAUUUAUUAUUAUUAAAAUUUUAUAUUAUAAGGGAUGAGCUUUAUAGUAGAAUAAUAUAAUUUAUUUAAUAAAUUUUAGUAUGUAGGAUUAAUAGUUUCUAUCUUUAUUAGUGUUUUAUAACUAACUAAAAUUAAUUUAAAAUUUAUAUAUUUAUAAUUUAUAUUUUUUAUUAAAAUAUAAGAUUUAAUAAUUUUCAUUUUAGAAAUAAUGAUAAAAUUAGUAUAAUUUAAUGUUUUUCUUUAUUAAUUAUUUUAGGUUAAGUAAAGGAACUCGGCAAAUAUAUUUUUCACCUGUUUAAUAAAAACAUGUCCUUUUGAUUAUAAUUUAAGGUCUAGCCUGCCCAAUGAUAUAAAAUUAAAUGGCCGCGGUAUUUUGACCGUGCAAAGGUAGCAUAAUCAUUAGUUUUUUAAUUGAAAGCUGGAAUGAAAGGUUGGAUGAGAAAAUAACUGUCUCUAUUUAAAUUUUUUAGAAUUUUAUUUUUAAGUAAAAAAGCUUAAAUUUGUAUUGAAGACGAGAAGACCCUAUAGAGUUUUAUAUUUAUUUAAAAUUAAAAAUUUUAGUAUUAAGUCUUUUUGGUUUAGGAUAGAUAUUUAGUUGGGGUGAUUGAAAAAUUUAAUAAACUUUUUUUUUUAUUUUAUCAUUGAUUUGUGAGUGUAUGAUCCUUAUUUAAAGAUUAAAAGAAUAAAUUACCUUAGGGAUAACAGCGUAAUUUUUUUUGAGAGUUCUAAUCGAAAAGAAAGGUUGCGACCUCGAUGUUGGAUUAAAAUUUAUUUUUGGUGUAGAAGCUAAAAUAUUAGGUCUGUUCGACCUUUAAAAUUUUACAUGAUCUGAGUUUAAACCGGUGUAAGCCAGGUUGGUUUCUAUCUCGAUAAAAAUAGAAUAUUUUAGUACGAAAGGACCAAGUAUUUAAUUUAAAAUUUUUUAAUUAGAAUAAU